GACGAACGCUGGCGGCGUGCUUAACACAUGCAAGUCGAGCGGGGAUUGAUGAAGUGCUUGCGCAGAUUCAAUUCUAGCGGCGGACGGGUGAGUAACGCGUGAACAAUCUGUCCCAGACAGGGGGAUAACAGAUGGAAACAUCUGCUAAUACCGCAUAAGACCGCAGGAUCGCAUGGUCCAGGGGUAAAAGAUUUAUCGGUCUGGGGUGAGUUCGCGUCCGAUUAGCUAGUUGGUGAGGUAACGGCCCACCAAGGCGACGAUCGGUAGCCGACCUGAGAGGGUGAUCGGCCACAUUGGAACUGAGACACGGUCCAAACUCCUACGGGAGGCAGCAGUGGGGAAUAUUGGGCAAUGGGCGCAAGCCUGACCCAGCAACGCCGCGUGAGGGAAGAAGGUUUUCGGAUUGUAAACCUCUGUCCUCAAGGACGAAGGAAGUGACGGUACUUGAGGAGGAAGCCCCGGCUAACUACGUGCCAGCAGCCGCGGUAAUACGUAGGGGGCGAGCGUUGUCCGGAAUGACUGGGCGUAAAGGGCGUGUAGGCGGCCGAUUAAGUCUGGAGUGAAAGUCCUGCUUUCAAGGUGGGAANUUGCUUUGGAGACUGGUUGGCUUGAGUGCGGAAGAGGUAAGUGGAAUUCCCAGUGUAGCGGUGAAAUGCGUAGAGAUUGGGAGGAACACCAGUGGCGAAGGCGACUUACUGGGCCAUAACUGACGCUGAGGCGCGAAAGCGUGGGGAGCGAACAGGAUUAGAUACCCUGGUAGUCCACGCUGUAAACGAUGAAUGCUAGGUGUUGCGGGUAUCGACCCCUGCAGUGCCGGAGUAAACGCAAUAAGCAUUCCGCCUGGGGAGUACGGCCGCAAGGUUGAAACUCAAAGGAAUUGACGGGGGCCCGCACAAGCAGCGGAGCAUGUUGUUUAAUUCGAAGCAACGCGAAGAACCUUACCAUGUCUUGACAUCGAUCUAAUCCCCCAGAGAUGGGGAGUGCCUUCGGGCAAGAGAAGACAGGUGGUGCAUGGUUGUCGUCAGCUCGUGUCGUGAGAUGUUGGGUUAAGUCCCGCAACGAGCGCAAC
rnacentral:rRNA from 1 species